rnacentral:rRNA from 1 species
GACGAACGCUGGCGGCGUGCCUAACACAUGCAAGUCGAACGGAGUAUUCAGCAAUGGAUACUUAGUGGCGAACGGGUGAGUAACGCGUAGACAACCUGCCUUCUAGUUGGGGACAACACCGCGAAAGUGGUGCUAAUACCGAAUGUUGUAACUUUGGUGCAUGCCAAGGUUACCAAAGGUGGCCUCUAUUUAUAAGCUAUCGCUAGAAGAUGGGUCUGCGUCUGAUUAGCUAGUUGGUGAGGUAAUGGCUCACCAAGGCGACGAUCAGUAGCCGGUCUGAGAGGAUGAACGGCCACACUGGGACUGAGACACGGCCCAGACUCCUACGGGAGGCAGCAGUGGGGAAUCUUCCGCAAUGGACGAAAGUCUGACGGAGCAACGCCGCGUGAGUGAAGAAGGUUUUCGGAUCGUAAAGCUCUGUUUUCAGGGACGAAUGUGCGAUGUGUGAAUAAUGCAUUGUAAUGACGGUACCUGAGUAGAAAGCCACGGCUAACUACGUGCCAGCAGCCGCGGUAAUACGUAGGUGGCAAGCGUUGUCCGGAAUUAUUGGGCGUAAAGCGCGCGCAGGUGGGAUAUUAAGUCUGGGUGUUAAGAUCGGGGCUCAACCCCGUUAGCAUUUGGAAACUGAUAUUCUUGAGUGCAGGAGAGGAAAGUGGAAUUCCUAGUGUAGCGGUGAAAUGCGUAGAUAUUAGGAGGAACACCAGUGGCGAAGGCGACUUUCUGGACUGUGUCUGACACUGAGGCGCGAAAGCUAGGGAAGUGAACAGGAUUAGAUACCCUGGUAAUCCUAGCUGUAAACGAUGGGUACUAGGUGUUGGGGGUAUCGACCCCUCCAGUGCCGGAGUUAACGCAAUAAGUACCCCGCCUGGGGAGUACGGCCGCAAGGUUGAAACUCAAAGGAAUUGACGGGGGCCCGCACAAGCGGUGGAGUAUGUGGUUUAAUUCGACGCAACGCGAAGAACCUUACCAGGGCUUGACAUUGAGUGAAAUGUUAAGAGAUUAGCACCUCCCUUCGGGGACACGAAAACAGGUGGUGCAUGGCUGUCGUCAGCUCGUGUCGUGAGAUGUUGGGUUAAGUCCCGCAACGAGCGCAACCCUUAUCCUAUGUUGCCAGCGAGUAAUGUCGGGAACUCAUAGGAGACUGCCGUGGAUAACACGGAGGAAGGUGGGGAUGACGUCAAGUCAUCAUGCCCCUUAUGUCCUGGGCUACACACGUACUACAAUGGGCUUUAAUAGAGGGAGGCAAAACCGCGAGGUCAAGCAAAUCCCAAAAACAAGCUCUCAGUUCGGAUUGGAGGCUGCAACUCGCCUCCAUGAAGUCGGAAUCGCUAGUAAUCGCAGGUCAGCAUACUGCGGUGAAUACGUUCCCGGGCCU